AGCGAACGCUGGCGGCAGGCCUAACACAUGCAAGUCGAACGAACCUUUCGGGGUUAGUGGCGGACGGGUGAGUAACACGUGGGAACGUGCCUUUAGGUUCGGAAUAACUCAGGGAAACUUGUGCUAAUACCGAAUGUGCCCUUCGGGGGAAAGAUUAAUCGCCUUUAGAGCGGCCCGCGUCUGAUUAGCUAGUUGGUUGAGGUAAUGGCUCACCAAGGCGACGAUCAGUAGCUGGUCUGAGAGGAUGAUCAGCCACAUUGGGACUGAGACACGGCCCAAACUCCUACGGGAGGCAGCAGUGGGGAAUCUUGCGCAAUGGGCGAAAGCCUGAUGCAGCAACGCCGCGUGCGGGAUGACGGCCUUCGGGUUGUAAACCGCUUUCGCCUGUGACGAAGCGUGAGUGACGGUAAUGGGUAAAGAAGCACCGGCUAACUACGUG
rnacentral:rRNA from 1 species